ACAUAAUGUAGUUACGAUUUUUGAAAAAUACUUGUAAAAUGUGACUUGCUUUUUUCUAAAUAGUUGUAGAAUAAUAUACAAUCGUAAUACUUUCAAAUAUCGGAUUAUUGUAGCUAUAUGAUUUCCUUAUAUGGCAUGGGAACCUAACACAUUACUAUGAUACAAAUACUCUAAGAACUAAAAGAUUUAAGUUCAUUCAUGUCUUCCACAAUGGCAUAAUUUACUCGCCAUUGAUCUUCUGAAUGUUGCUCUGUGAUUUUCAACCUCCGGUGUACGUUUAUAAAAAUUAUUAUAUUUUCAGAAUGACAAUAUACUGAUUUCAAAACGAAAAACAGACAUGACCAGCGAAAAGGAGAAUGGCAAGAAGCCAAAACAACGUAAGACAGUACCAAUUGUAAAAUCAAUGGAAAUCAGGAUUGAAAAGCUUGAUGCCGCCAAUCAACAAAAUUACGAGGAGAAACAGGAAAAAAUGUCAGAAGGAGAAGAUAAA